rnacentral:rRNA from 1 species
UACGGGGGGAGCAAGCGUUGUUCGGAUUUACUGGGCGUAAAGGGCGCGUAGGCGGCGCAACAAGUCAGUUGUGAAAUCUCUGGGCUUAACCCAGAGCGGUCAACUGAUACUGUCGUGCUAGAGUGCGGAAGGGGCAACUGGAAUUCUCGGUGUAGCGGUGAAAUGCGUAGAUAUCGAGAGGAACACCUGCGGCGAAGGCGGCUCGCUGGGCCAUUCCUGACGCUGAGACGCGAAAGCUAGGGGAGCGAACAGG